GAAUCGUCAUCGCUCUGAAGCUGGAUCUCCUAAAGCACAAGCUAUGGGGACCAGACUAGUGUCUUAAAGACACUCGGGUAUUAUGGGAAACUGUAAUAUCUCCUGUUGGAAAGGAGUCUGUCGACAGGUGGAAU
rnacentral:ncRNA from 2 species